ensembl:lncRNA
CUUAGAGCCGUUCUCGGUUCCAGUGAUUUUAUCCGCGAACCGGACCGGGACGACCCGAACCCGGCGUCCGUCUGGAGGAGGAGCCGGCAGCUGGACCGGAGGGAGGAGCCGGGAAGGGAGAGGAGCCGGGAGAGGAGAGAGGAGAGCCGGGAAAGUAGGGAGAGGAGCCGGAAGAGGAGAGAGUGGAGCCGGGGAGUUUGAGGAGGACCAACCGUCUGGUGGAGCUGAGAACGUUUGAGGACCAAGACGUCUGAAGCAGAUCUUCAGUUUCCUGAUGAUGAAGAAAACUCCUCCGUCGUCCUGAAGAGUAGCCAGCAGUCGAACAGCGUCUACUGCAGCACUUUCAGGUUCUGGUUCUGGUGUGGAUCUUGUUGCAGAUCCUGGUCUGGACCUUGUUGCAGGUUCUGGUCCAGGUCUGGAUCUUGCUGCAGGUUCUGGUUCUGGUCUGGAUCUUGUUGCAGGUUCUUG